UACCCUGCUGAAAUAUUCCUGAAAAUGGUGUGAAGACUAGAAAAACCUCUUAUCAAAAUUCUUCAGUGGUUGUUUCUUUCCCUUGUCCUCAAAACUGAGAUUAUUACAAUAUCUUUCUUGUUUAUUCAGUACCUACACCUGGGAUUUCCAGGCUCCUUACAAUGGCAUCCAUCUCUGCUGAUAACCACCGUGCUUGGAACUCUAGCAAGACUGUGGCAACCCUGGGCAACAUAGUAAACAGAGGGCAAAAUAGUGGCCCUCUGUUUGAAGCAGAAGCCGUUUCACAUUAGAUGUUGCCUAUGUUCCAGUGGCACAUAAAAUCCCACAUUAAACAAGACAUCAUUUUGUUGUACAUCUUUCAUCAUUACAGUUGGGUAAGGAGGUUGGGGAGAUUUUGUCUCUCACCACCUCUCAGGAAGUUGGAUGUCAACAUAUGAACCCCUCCCCUCUGUUACCAAGGGUGAGAGAUAUUGUGGCUUCUUCUUGGAUAUCUGAAUGGUGGUGAGAUCAACCUCUGGGCCAGCCAAGUAUGGAACUCAAUCCAAAACAACGGACUUCUUUUGUUUCGUGUCAGUUCAGCUUCCUACAAACAAAAUUAAAGCAGCAUUGGUUUAGUAAUUGGAAAUGCAUAUCAAAGAAAAGAAGCUUAACUCAAAACAGAUUUUCCUAACCAUCUUCAAUGUACAUGUGUAGGAGAAAUGCAUUCUUUAUUUGUAGCAGUGCAAAUGUCAGUGAUUACAAACAUGUGUGUGACUGUUUGCCAGCAAUUUGUUCUUGCCCUUGGAUGAUCAGACCCUUACGGAAUCUAGGCAGACUGUGGAACUUCCAUUGGCUUCCACUGGCUUUGGUGUGAAAUAUAGAGAUAUGAGUAGUGGUGACAAGAGGGGACACGGGAAAGGCCCGUGGGAAUAGGCCUUUGAGGGGAAGCACGCUGAUCUCUUGUUCUGCAGCGCAUGCUUGGGAUGGUAUGCGCAUGCCUUCUCUCACUAAGACUAGGACUGCUUACAGAAUGCGAAUAUAAGUAUCCUUAUUUGGGAGAAAAGUACAUUUUCAAGGGCUGGUAAAAUGACGUGGAGGAAGGGAGGAUCCAGGGAGCCUUCUGAAGAGUAUUGUCAGGAUGUCUCUUCUCUUUCAGCCACCUGGAUAUGUUUCACAUUUUGUUUCCCAAACAAGGACUAGAUUGGAUCCCAGAAGGGAAUGGUUUCCUUAGUAUACAUUCCGAAUUCCUUUGUAAGGGAAAAAUCCACUUCAUCUGGUCUAAGAAUACGUAAGAACAAAUGAAAAUGUUGUGGCUGGAGAUGUUCCUGAGUUAAUAUCAGGAUGUUUGCCUGCUGGUUUCUGUUUUACCAAACAAAACAUAGCUGCCAAUUCAUCCAUCUGUAAAAGUGCUCCUUGUGGACCCCCUCAAGAGAAGUACUGGUUAUUUUAUUUGCAGAAAACGUUUUAUUGGGAGUUGUUUACUUUCUGUGACUGAAGUGGGGAACAUGAGGGUCCCUUUACGGAGCCCUCAUAUUCCAUGUGUACUCUGUAUUUUAUUGAGGCUGUUUCCCAGUCAGAACAGCGUCUCUCUUUGUUUGUCAUUCCAAAUCUUUCAGUGUCUUUAGAGCUCUGAGGGCCCUGGAGAGCCUCACCCAACCUCUCAUCCUUCCAUGGCUGUCCCCACCUCUGUGCACUUAUGAGUCAAUGUUGCCGCACUUCAUUACAUGCUGUUCAUAUUACAGCAUUAUAAGAUUUUUUCUUUUAAAAGCCUAUCUUCUUCAAUCGGGUAGUAAGACCAUUGUGGGUUGAGGCAUGUUUCAUACUUCCCACAUAAUCACUCCAGACUUAAAACAGAACCGGAAAUACAUGAAAUAAAAAAUUAUUUUUCUGUUCUCAAA